GGGCUGUCGUGCGGGACGGGCGAAGCCGGGGGCUCCCGGGGCGCCGGCCAAGUGCGGUGAGGAGCCGCCCGUCCAGCGCCACCAGUCCCCGCGGCGAGGGGAGCGGGGAGAUGGUCUCGCUCCGCUUCCCCUCGCCGCCGGUCCCAGCGUCUGUCUUCUCCGCGGUCGCGUAAUGGUAUUUACAGCCAUUGCAAUAGCUUCAGUGGCCUCCUAAUGGCGGGGGGGGCCUUGUGACCCGACCCGCCUUCCCCAGGCAGUCAGGACUCCUGCUUAUUUUGUUCCUCCCUUGAUGGUCUGUUUUCAUCCCUGUCUGUACCCGUGGCUGAGCAGGAAGAGGAGGCAAAUGUCAUUUUGUGAGAGGACAGUUUAACAUAAGGAUUUCGUCAAACUUUAGGACGGUUUGACUCUGUACACAAACUUGGAGAGACAAGAGGGCUGAUGAGUAGGGCUUGCAAUGCAUCUGGAAAUUUGAGCAGGGGAUUGGACUAGGUGAUCUCCUUGAGGUGUCCCUUCCAACCCUCACCUUCUCUGAUUCUACGAAUGCAUACCUGUUAAUAUCCUGUGGUUUUGCUAUCCUGCUGCUUCCUUAAACCUUUAUUUUUAUUAAAAUGUUCAUUUGGUCAAAUCCUUGACCAGCUUGAUCUUG